CAAAGGUUUAUUUGCAUGACGCACAAACAGACACAAUUGAAAGGUACAAAUGUGCAUGACACGAAUUCAAACGUGCUGCAGAUGUGUGUCACCAGUUGAUCUGGCUGUAGGCUGUGGCACUUGGCCAGAGGUGGCGCUGGUUGACUCGACUCCAUGUUGGUGCACAGAGCAAACUGCUCGCUUUAGUUGUGGAGCAAAAACGCUGAAUUCGGUGAAAUAAACCGUGCGAGUGGAACGAUAACGACGACAAGGGUCUCCCGAUCGUUUACUCUUGCUGUCCUGUGAACAACAACGGCGUGGUGUUACUUGUUUGCUGUUUUCGCGAUCGAGUCGCGCAUGAGGAUAUCACCAGGUAAACUCGCCACAUUUUUAAACAUUUUGUUGUUCAACAGCAUCAAGACUGACGGAGUGUGUUUGAGACAACCUCACAAGUGUCACAGAUGACACAUUUGGCGUUUUUUUGCUGGUUUGUCGGUAGGAGCUCCUGAAACGCAAGACUGCCACACAUCUGUUCGACCAACGCCAGUUGAUCUAAACGCCAGUUGAUCUGGAACACCGGAGAGCAGAGGCAGUCGCUCGUUAAGCUUAACGUGGGAAUGCUUUACAAACAUUCAGAGAUGGACUUACACACUUGCUUUACUUCUCUCGGGGAUAACUUUGUCAGAGAUGAAAUGCCAGGUUGCUAGCGAAGCUCCACAUGCUAUCCAGACCACCGACAGGUCCCGCAUGCCACAGCUGCUCUAUCACGUGAUGCAUACUGCUCCGACUGCUAACGUUCUGAGUAAAUCCUAAGAGAAGAUCAGAACCAUCAAUGAAUAAACAAUUUUCUUUGUCAGUUGGGCUCCAACGGUGUUGCAACUUACAAGAACUCUGUAAUACGGCUGUCAGGAUCUUCAUUUAAUUAGAGCCGCAAUGCUUUCAGUAUGUUGCCCCACCUUACUUCAAUUGUGUGAAAGACGGUUUUUAAACUAAUUAUUUUAUUUACACUAUCCUGUAAAUGUACAUAAAUUCUCUGCACAAGACACAUUUUAUAUAUGCAACCUGUAUAGCUCUUGUCCUAUUUCC
ensembl:lncRNA